rnacentral:rRNA from 1 species
UAGAGCGGCGGAAGGGAUAGGAAUUUAUAGGUAACAUGCCUCUUAGGUCUGGAUAGCGUCUGGAAACGGACGAUAAUACAGGAUGAGGUCUUCGGACCAAAGGUGGGAUUCCCCUAGGAGAUUGGCCUAUAACCUAUUAGCUAGUUGGUAGGGUAACGGCUUACCAAGGCGAUGAUGGGUACGGGGCGUGAGAGCGUGACCCCGAUCACUGGGACUGAGACACUGCCCAGACGCCUACGGGCGGCUGCAGUCGAGAAUCUUCGGCAAUGGACGGAAGUCUGACCGAGCGACGCCGCGUGUAUGAUGAAGGUCUUCGGAUUGUAAAAUACUGUCGAUAGGGCGGAAAUUUAGGAGGGCUAUCCCUCUUAUUUGACCUAUCUUUUGAGGAAGGACGGGCUAAGUUCGUGCCAGCAGCGCGGUAAGACGAACUGUUCUAACGUUAUUCGGAAUCACUGGGCUUAAAGGGCGCGUAGGCUGUUUGUUAAGCGGGGUCUGAAAUCCCUCGGCUCAACCGAGGAACUGGGCUUCGAACUGGCAGACUAGAGUGAAGUAGGGGUAAGCGGAACUUGCGGUGGAGCGGUGAAAUGCUUUGAUAUCGCAAGGAACACCGGCGGCGAAGGCGGCUUACUGGGCUUCAACUGACGCUUAAGCGCGAAAGCUAGGGUAGCGAACGGGAUUAGAUACCCCGGUAGUCCUAGCCGUAAACUCUGAGCGCUUGUUCGAGGGAGUUUUUUCUUUCUCGAGCGUAGCGAAAGUUUUAAGCGCUCCCCCUGGGGAGUAUGGUCGCAAGGCUGAAACUCAAAGGAUUGGAGGGGGGCUCACACAAGCGGGGG